AGCGAACGCUGGCGGCAGGCCUAACACAUGCAAGUCGAACGGAUCCUUCGGGAUUAGUGGCGGACGGGUGAGUAACACGUGGGAACGUGCCCUUUGGUUCGGAACAACUCAGGGAAACUUGAGCUAAUACCGGAUGUGCCCUUCGGGGGAAAGAUUUAUCGCCAUUGGAGCGGCCCGCGUCUGAUUAGCUAGUUGGUGGGGUAAAGGCCCACCAAGGCGACGAUCAGCAGCUGGUCUGAGAGGAUGAUCAGCCACAUUGGGACUGAGACACGGCCCAAACUCCUACGGGAGGCAGCAGUGGGGAAUCUUGCGCAAUGGGCGAAAGCCUGACGCAGCCAUGCCGCGUGAAUGAUGAAGGUCUUAGGAUUGUAAAAUUCUUUCACCGGGGACGAUAAUGACGGUACCCGGAGAAGAAGCCCCGGCUAACUUCGUGCCAGCCGCCGCAGUAAUAC
rnacentral:rRNA from 1 species